AGUGGCGGACGGGUGAGUAACGCGUGAGAAUCUGCCUUGGGGUCGGGGACAACCACUGGAAACGGUGGCUAAUACCGGAUACGCCUUCGGGUAAAAGAUUUAUUGCCCUAAGAGGAGCUCGCGUCUGAUUAGCUAGUUGGUGAGGUAAGAGCUCACCAAGGCAGCGAUCAGUAGCUGGUCUGAGAGGACGAUCAGCCACACUGGGACUGAGACACGGCCCAGACUCCUACGGGAGGCAGCAGUGGGUAAUUUUCCGCAAUGGGCGAAAGCCUGACGGAGCAAGACCGCGUGAGGGAGGAAGGCUCUUGGGUUGUAAACCUCUUUUCUCAGGGAAGAAGCUCUGACGGUACCUGAGGAAUCAGCCUCGGCUAACUCCGUGCCAGCAGCCGCGGUAAUACGGAGGAGGCAAGCGUUAUCCGGAAUUAUUGGGCGUAAAGCGUCCGCAGGUGGCGAUUCAAGUCUGCUGUCAAAGCACGGGGCUUAACUCCGUAAAGGCAGUGGAAACUGAAUAGCUAGAGUGCCGUAGGGGUAGAGGGAAUUCCCGGUGUAGCGGUGAAAUGCGUAGAGAUCGGGAAGAACAUCGGUGGCGAAAGCGCUCUACUGGACGGCAACUGACACUCAGGGACGAAAGCUAGGGGAGCGAAUGGGAUUAGAUACCCC
rnacentral:rRNA from 1 species